AAUCCCAGGCUAUCUAUGAUAUCUCCAGUUAGUGCGGCUAACUCCCAUGGGCCCCUUCAGGAGGUAACACUGAUCCAUAUAGCCCGUGGGUGGAUUUAUGGCGGUAAUGCUUCAUAACCCAAUUUAAGGUUUUCGAAGUUCAUGCUAAGACUUGUUUCCUAAUCUGACACGUGAUAUUAUGUAUACAUAUAUGUACUUCAUAUGAUAUGAUAUAUGUACAUAUAUGAUAUGAAGUACAUAUAUGUACUUCAUAUGAUAUGGUACAUUGGAUGUUGUACUGGUUUUGAAUUGUUAUCAUGGCAUUAUUUUGUUCCUCUAUCGCUAAGUUUCAUGCUUGAACUCCAAAUGCUAAAUGUAUUCAGAUACUGUAUCCCUACGCGAUUCAGGAACUGGCCAUGCUUCCACAUCUCCUGCUCAGUGACUAGGAUUCGGGAUCAGCGAGUGAGUCAGAUUGAAGUGGUGGCGUGGUAAGAUGAUUAUGAUGAUACAUGAAGGAUGUAAAAUCAUCAAAUCAAGUGGGGAUAUCAUAAAAGACUUGGAGUGGUCCAACGGAAGCACAAAUCCCAACAAGACGUACUUAGGAUGCUUGGGAGCUCAAGACCGCAUCGCGGUGGGUGGUAAAAUGACAAUGUCUACAUUCCAGUAGAGCAACGUGAUUUCACCGCAUCACAAGUUAAUAGCGAUUUAAUAACAUAGUAUGAUUGUUCGAAGUGCUUUAACCCUGGGCUUUACUUUAUUGAUUGUCUCAAGACCUUUAUUUUACACAUUUUUUACUUUGCCUUGCAAUUUACAAUUAUUCCAAACUCUCUUUUGGUUACUCUUGCAUCAAUUGAAUCUAAAUUACGAACUGAAAUCAAAUUGUUGGUA